rnacentral:rRNA from 1 species
GACGAACGCUGGCGGCGUGCUUAACACAUGCAAGUCGAACGGAAAGGCCCUGCUUGCAGGGUACUCGAGUGGCGAACGGGUGAGUAACACGUGGGUGAUCUGCCCUGCACUUCGGGAUAAGCCUGGGAAACUGGGUCUAAUACCGGAUAGGAGCCAUUUUUAGUGUGAUGGUUGGAAAGUUUUUUCGGUGUAGGAUGAGCUCGCGGCCUAUCAGCUUGUUGGUGGGGUAAUGGCCUACCAAGGCGGCGACGGGUAGCCGGCCUGAGAGGGUGGACGGCCACAUUGGGACUGAGAGACGGCCCAGACUCCUACGGGAGGCAGAAGUGGGGAAUAUUGCACAAUGGGCGCAAGCCUGAUGCAGAGACGCCGCGUGGGGGAUGACGGGCUUCGGGUUGUAAACUCCUUUCGCUAGGGAAGAAGCUGUUUGUGACGGUACCUAGAUAAGAAGCACCGGCUAACUACGUG